GGAAGCGUGGGAGAGUGGUUUAAUCCAUCGGUCUUGAAAACCGACGAAGGCGGAAGCCUUCCGUGAGUUCGAAUCUCACCGCUUCCGCCA
rnacentral:tRNA from 1 species